rnacentral:rRNA from 1 species
UACGUAGGGUGCGAGCGUUGUCCGGAAUUAUUGGGCGUAAAGGGCUCGUAGGCGGUUUGUCGCGUCGGGAGUGAAAACUCAGGGCUUAACCCUGAGCCUGCUUCCGAUACGGGCAGGCUAGAGGUAGGUAGGGGAGAAUGGAAUUCCCGGUGUAGCGGUGAAAUGCGCAGAUAUCGGGAGGAACACCGGUGGCGAAGGCGGUUCUCUGGGCCUUACCUGACGCUGAGGAGCGAAAGCGUGGGGAGCGAACAGG